rnacentral:rRNA from 1 species
GCGAUUUCCUUAGUAACGGCGAGUGAAAAGGAUAAGCCUAGCGUGAAGGCCUUAUCACUUUGUGUUAAGGCGGUGCCACGUUAGUGAUUUACCAUAAUGAUUGAUGUAUGUCUUGCAAAUCCUUUUGAACAGGGCCACUCUUACGGGUGCGAGUCCCUUUGCUUGGACUUAAGUCUUUCAUAGGUAUUUCACGUAAAAGUCGGGUUGCUUGAGAGUGCAACCUAAAGAAGGUGGUAUGCUCCACCUAAGGCUAAAUAUCGCUGUGAGACCGAUAGCAAACAAGUACCGUGAGGGAAAGUUGCAAAGAACUUUGAAGAGAGAGUUUAAAAGGACGUGAAACCGUUUGCAGGUAAACAGAUGGACCCACGAAGUCUUGGUGUUGAGAAAUUCAGUUUUUCAUUAUGGGUACAGUAGAAGUUUGACUGUUUCGGCAAGAGAGCUUAUAUUGUUAUCUGUAUGAGAAAUGCAUUUUUCUUAGCACAAAAGAGCUCUGACUGGUUAGAAGUAUUUUGCUCAUCAAAACAGUUAAGAGGACAUUUUCUUUGAAAAGUAAUCUUAGCUGGAGUUAAAGUACAGACAACUCAGGUGAAUUCAUUACUCCGGUAAUGUUUCAGGUCUGGUUUUCUCACUUUGAAAUUAAAAUGAGCAGUUAAUUUUAUUUGUUGCUUCGGUAAUGAAUGAGUUAUUCUGAUCGUUUUUUGAUUGAAGUGAGGAAGCGUGAUGAUCCAGAGUAAGUAGGUCGGUUAUCCAUUUGACCCGUCUUGAAACACGGACCAAGGAUUCUAACAAAUGCGCGAGUCAAACAGUCUUGAACAGGCUCGUGUGGCGAAAUAAACAUAAAGGUAUGAUCCCCUCCAAUGCCUUCGGGUAAGAGGGGCGCAAUACCGACCUGUCUUAUCUGCCUUUWAGGAAGAUGGACGGAGUUCGAGCGCAUUUGUUAGUACCCGAAAGAUGGUGAACUAUACUUGGGCAGGACGAAGCCAGAGGAAACUCUGGUGGAGGUCUGCAGCGGUUCUGACGUGCAAAUCGAUCGUCAGACCUGAGUAUAGGGGCGAAAGACUAAUCGAACCAUCUAGUAGCUGGUUCCCUCCGAAGUUUCCCUCAGGAUAGCAAAAGGCAAUCUCUACUUUAACACCCGGUAAAGCAAAUGAUUAGAGGCCUUGGGGUCGAAACGACCUCAACCUAUUCUCAAACUUUCAAUGGGUGCGAAGGCUUGAUUUUCUUAAUUGAAGUCUUGCCUAGUAAGAGUGCGCUUUAAGUGGGCCAAUAUUUGGUAAGCAGAACUGGCGAUGAGGGAUGAACUUAACGCAAAGUUAAGGCACCAAAUGCCGACGCUCAUGAGACCCCAUGAAAGGUGUUGGUUGCUAUAGACAGCAGGACGGUGGCCAUGGAAGUUGGAAUCCGCUAAGGAGUGUGUAACAACUCACCUGCCGAAGCAACCAGCCCUGAAAAUGGAUGAUGCUGAAGCGUGGAGCCUAUACUUUGCCGUAAGAGCUAUCUUGCUAGGAUGCUCUUACGAGUAGGAGGGACGCAGUGNNNNNNNNNNNNNNNNNNNNNNNNNNNNNNNNNNNNNNNNNNNNNNNNNNNNNNNNNNNNNNNNNNNNNNNNNNNNNNNNNNNNNNNNNNAGGACCAUUGUGGAGAAGGGUUCCAUGUGAACAGCAGUUGUACAUGGGUUAGCCGGUCCUGAGGAAUGCGGAGAAAUCCGUAGCCAAAGUCCUUGAUGUAUGUCACAGUACUGAAGGGUUCUGAGGUGUAUUCCGAAGGGUAAUCAGGUUAAUAUUCCUGAGCCUAGAUAGGAAAAUAGAUGUUACUUGUAACAUCAAAGGCGGUAACGCUGUCGAACUCUGGGACGUCAGCAUCAGCCCGGGGAAGAGUUGUCUUUUCUUUGUAAGGGGCCGAGUCCGUGGAAUUGGUUUAUCCAGAGAUACGGAGGAUGGCACCGAAAAGCCUUGCAGAUUUUGCCGGGUCCGGAGCACUGAUGUUGGCCCUUGAAAACCGGAGGGAGAGAUCUUAUUUUCCUACUAGACCGUACCGAUAUCCGCAGCAGGUCUCCAAGGUUAACAGCCUCUGGUCGAUAGAAUAAUGUAAGUAAGGGAAGUCGGCAAGGUCGAUUCGUAACUUCGGGAUAAGAAUUGGCUCUGAAGACUGAGUUGGUCGGGCUAUUGUUAGAGAUUGGAUUUCGCAGUGUCAGGACUGGAGGAGAUCAGGUAACUGGUCGAAUUCGGACUUGGUCUGUGUGUUCCUUUUGAAGACUUUAGCUAGGACUCUGACUUUUGACAUGCAUUCGUGUGUGAAGGAGGUCGGAUGUUCCUUUACGGCCAGCAACAGACAGUCAGAUCAGAACCGGCACAGACCGGGGGAAUCCGACUGUCUAAUUAAAACAAAGCAUUGCGAUGGCCGCAAAGCGGUUCUGACGCAAUGUGAUUUCUGCCCAGUGCUCUGAAUGUCAACAUGAAGAAAUUCACCUAAGCGCGGGUAAACGGCGGGGGUAACUAUGACUCUCUUAAGGUAGCCAAAUGCCUCGUCAUCUAAUUAGUGACGUGCAUGAAUGGAUUAAUGAGAUUCCCUUAAUCUGUCCCUACUUACUAUCUAGCGAAACCACAGCCAAGGGAACGGGCUUGGCAACAACAGCGGGGAAAGAAGACCCUGUUGAGCUUGACUCUAAUCUGAUAUUGUGAAGAGACAUGAGAGGCGUAGCAUAGGUGGGAGGUGAGGUUCGCUUCACCGCCAGUGAAAUACCACCACUCUCAUCGUUUCUUUACUUACUCGGUUGAGGGGAAGUUGGUUACUUCGGUAAUCUUUCUUCUAGAUCAAACUCAGAAAAGGAAGCUUUGAACUGAAUUGGUUACUUUGUAACUGAGAAGGUUCUUCACGAGUUUCCUUAGUAUGGGUGAUCUCCUCCGAGGACAGUAUCAGGUGGGGAGUUUGACUGGGGCGGUACAACUGUCAAACGGUAACGCAGGUGUCCUAAGGGCAGCUCAGUGAGGACAGAAACCUCACGUAGAGCAAAAGGGCAAAAGCUGUCUUGAUCUGGACUCUCAGUGAGAGUACAGACCGGGAAACCGCGGCCCAUCGAUCCUUUUGUUUUAACGAGCUUUUAACAAGAGGUGUCAGAAAAGUUACCACAGGGAUAACUGGCUUGUGGCAGCCAAGCGGCCAUAGCGACGUUGCUUUUUGAUCCUUCGAUGUCGGCUCUUCCUAUCAUUGCGAAGCAGAAUUCGCAAAGCGUUGGAUUGUUCACCCACUAAUAGGGAACGUGAGCUGGGUUUAGACCGUCGUGAGACAGGUUAGUUUUACCCUACUGUUAAAUUCGUUGAUCUGGAAAUCCUGCUUAGUACGAGAGGAACCGCAGGUUCGGACCAAUGGUACUUACGUCUGACCGACAGGUCAGUGCCGUGAUGCUA